rnacentral:rRNA from 1 species
CAUGGGGGCUAUAAUGCAGUCGAGCGGACAGAUGGGAGCUUGCUCCCUGAAGUCAGCGGCGGACGGGUGAGUAACACGUGGGCAACCUGCCUGUAAGACUGGGAUAACUCCGGGAAACCGGGGCUAAUACCGGAUAAUUCUUUCCCUCACAUGAGGGAAAGCUGAAAGAUGGUUUCGGCUAUCACUUACAGAUGGGCCCGCGGCGCAUUAGCUAGUUGGUGAGGUAACGGCUCACCAAGGCAACGAUGCGUAGCCGACCUGAGAGGGUGAUCGGCCACACUGGGACUGAGACACGGCCCAGACUCCUACGGGAGGCAGCAGUAGGGAAUCUUCCGCAAUGGACGAAAGUCUGACGGAGCAACGCCGCGUGAGUGAUGAAGGUUUUCGGAUCGUAAAACUCUGUUGUUAGGGAAGAACAAGUACCGGAGUAACUGCCGGUACCUUGACGGUACCUAACCAGAAAGCCACGGCUAACUACGUGCCAGCAGCCGCGGUAAUACGUAGGUGGCAAGCGUUGUCCGGAAUUAUUGGGCGUAAAGCGCGCGCAGGCGGUUCCUUAAGUCUGAUGUGAAAGCCUCUCGGCUCACCCGGGGAGGGUCAUUGGAAAACUGGGGAACUUGAGUGCAGAAGAGAAGAGUGAAAUUCUACGUGUAGCGGUGAAAUGCGUAGAGAUGUGGAGGAACACUAGUUGGCCGAAGCGACUCCUUUGGUCUGUAACUGACGCUGAGGCGCCGAAAGGCGUGGGGAGCAAACAGGAUUAGAUACUCCUGGUAGUCCACCGCCGUAACGAUGAGUGCUAGUGGUUAGAGGGUUUCCGGCCCUUUUAGUGCUGCAGCAGACCGCAAUAGCACUCCUGCCUGGGGAGUACUGACCGCAGCUGGAACUCCAAGGAAUUGACCGGGCCUGCACACAAG